AGAAAUCGACGAUAAUGUGUUUUCAAGGGGGUAAAACUUGUACACCGCAGUCAACCGUGAAAAUCACGGUUUUUCACAUAUAAGUAGAAAUUUAGGGAAAAAUAACAUGUUAUUUUCAGAUAUAUAGAAGAAAAUACCUUACUGUUGAUAAUUAUGUAAGUUUAGUUGAAAUAAACAACAUAUUUCACAUGAAAUUCUGACUUUGUUGUGAUCGCGGGUGUUUUGUUUCCUCCCGUACCCGUACUAAGGGGACAUAACUUCGUCAAGACUCGUGCUAAAUAUGCAUAAUAUGUAAAAACCUCCACCACCAUCAUCAUAUGGGGAAAAUAGAAAAGUUUUAAAAAACAGUAUUACCAAAUGUGCAACAACAGAAAAACGGGGUUGACUGUGGGGUUUUUGCUAUUGCUAACUUGGUAGAAUGUUGUUUCAAUGGGUUUAACGGGAGUGAAGAGUUAGAGUUUGACACCACUUGCAUGAGACAACAUCUUGUAGAAUGUUUUUCCAAUGGAAUCUUUACUAAGUUUCCUAGGAAAAAAAUGAGUAGGCAUAGGCAAAAGAAAACUUCUUUAUCAUUUGAUAUUUUUAUUGAUUGCGAAGCAGAUGGGUGUCACAUCUCAAAUGUAUUUGAUGAUAUGGUUUCUUGUGAUGCUGGCUGUGACAGAUGGUUUCAUAAUAGAUGUGUAAGUGAUCUGUCAGAUUUACAUAUAUAUGAUGAGGUAAUACAUACAUAUCAUAUUAGACAUUCAUAUUUUUUCAUUUUUUUAUUAGAUUUAUAUUAAUCUUUAUCAGGAUGUGAGAUUAUAUCUACACUGAGUACCGGUAGUAUAAUUUGUAGUGAUGGUAGUGAAGGUGAUGGUAGUGAAGGUGACGGUUGUAAAGGUGGACCAUUGGGUAGUGUCAGUACAGGAGGUAGAUAGUGGGGAAGUAUACAUUCUUGAUAGUUUGAUAGGA
rnacentral:lncRNA from 1 species